GAGCUGAGAACUUUUGCAGCAGUGCUCUUGAAAAGUGCUGUGUACCCAUGUGCUUCUGUCGGCUUUCAGAUAUCAAAUAUUGGAGUGAGAGAUAUUGGCAAUGGCUAACACCACAACUAUUGAUUGCCAUGUGAUGUUUAAAACUUCAUGCAUGUUGACACUGAGACCAGGAAGUGGUUCUUGAGCACAGUAUACAUAUGUUUAUAUUCCAGACAAAAAUUAGUUUUUUAUCAUGUGUGUCUUAAUGAUUCUUUUAUUUACUUGUGAAAGAAAGCCUUUGUUCGUACUGUGUAAAUUUUUUGACCAAAAUUAUUGUUUGUAAACUGACCAGUAGCUAAAGAAAUCUAUGUACACUCUAUUAUAAAAUUAUUAAUAGUUUUGUAACCUUGGUUACUAUUGUAAUCACAUGAAAUUGAAAUUGUAUUAAAAUAAAAAUAUUAAGAUUCGAAUUUGGUGUCUUGAGCUUCGAGCUCUUCUUCUUCUUCUUCUUCUUCUUCUUUAAAUUCAAAGGCUGUAAGAAAAUUGCCAAGUCACCUGAAAAAGUACUCUCUCUCUCUCUCUCUCUCUCUCUCUCUCUCUCUCUCUCUCUGUUGCCUCUUUCUUGUUGUAGUGGCACAUCCAUUAAAUUUUUUAUCUUUAUUGGGCAGGCUCUGUCUUCAACUCGAGUAAUAACUACUAUAAUAUGGACUUACCCUAUGUCCUCUUAAAUUUUUCUCAUUUAAAGGCCUUUCUCUAUAAAGAGGACAAAAUUUUAAUUUUUUCUGACUUUUCAAACCUGUGCUUAUGUCCUUAAUCUAAUGGUGUUUGCACAUUGACUCCAUGAAGUCACCAAAGUCUAGAAAUGUAAGUUCCCCAUCCUGACCCUCAAGGUGCCAUUAACAUUUAAUUUGCUUUGGUUUGAGAUUCAGGUCUUUGAAUUCAUGUUGAAAAUGACAUUGUUAGUGCAGCAGCCUGUGAAUAAGUAAUAUGUUGAAUUUCUUUUGUAUGUAACUGUUUGUAAUAAAAGAAACUAUGACAGCUAUGCUAUGUCAACAAUA